UUGGCUUCAGUGUUUGUGGGCCCGUGGCAU
rnacentral:piRNA from 1 species